CUUGGUCAUUUAGAGGAAGUAAAAGUCGUAACAAGGUUUCCGUAGGUGAACCUGCGGAAGGAUCAUUACAAGUGAGGCUACCGAACGUUGGAAACAGCGGUUAGGAGCUUACACCCACCCGUGUUUACAUACUAUUGUUGCUUUGGCGGGCCGUGGCCUCCACUGCGGGCUCUGCUCGUGUGUGCCCGCCAGAGAACCAAACUCUGAAUGUUAGUGAUGUCUGAGUACUAUCUAAUAGUUAAAACUUUCAACAACGGAUCUCUUGGUUCUGGCAUCGAUGAAGAACGCAGCGAAAUGCGAUAAGUAAUGUGAAUUGCAGAAUUCAGUGAACCAUCGAAUCUUUGAACGCACAUUGCGCCCUGUGGUAUUCCGCAGGGCAUGCCUGUUCGAGCGUCAUUUAACCACUCACGCCUAGCGUGGUAUUGGGGCACGCGGUCUCCGCGGCCCUCAAAAUUAGUGGCGGCGCCGGUGGGCUCUAAGCGUAGUACAUACUCCCGCUAUAGAGUUCCCCCCGGUGGCUCGCCAGAACCCCCAAUUUUUUACAGGUUGACCUCGGAUCAGGUAGGGAUACCCGCUGAACUUAAGCAUAUCAAUAAGCGGAGGA
rnacentral:rRNA from 1 species